UGCAUGUUUCUCUUUUAUUAGUGUAGAUAAUUGGCAUAUAAUAUUAUAUUCAUUUCAGAUAUACAAUAUAAUGAUUUGAUAUUUUUAUAUAUUGCGAAAUGAUCACCACAGUAAGUUUAAUUAACAUCCUUCACUACCCGGUUACAAAUUAUUUUUCUUGUGAUGAAAACUUUUAAGAUUUACUCUCUUACCAAAUAGAUAAUACUAUAUUAUUAACUGGUCAUCAGGUGUCCAAUACGUCCCCAUGACUUAUUUAUUUAUAACUGGAAUUUUGUACCCUUUGACACCCUUCACCCAUUUGGCCCUCUCUCACCCCUCCCACCCCCACCUCCGGCAACCACCAAUCUGUUCUAUAUAUCCUUGAGUUUGUUUUUUUGUUUGAUUGAUUUAGAUUUCAUAUAUAGGUGGAAUCUACAACGUUUGCCUUUCUCUUUCGGACUUAUUUCAUUUAAUGUAAUACCUUCAAGGUCCAUCCAUAUUGUUGCAAAAGGUGAGACUUUCUCCUUUUUUAUGGCUGAAUAAUACCUUAUUUUAUAUAUGUAUCACAUUUUCUUUUUUUAAUUUACAUUCCUUCACACAGGCCUUUUACUUCCUGUCCUUGACACAGGUCUUUUACUUACUGAUACAAGGCCUGUUAGAUGCAUACCUUUCUCUCAGAACACAGGUGGGGACCCACUCUGGUCCAGAAGGAAAAAUUCCAGAGUAUCCUUUGUACCUAGUAAACUUAGGUUUACUCUCAGGAAAGUCUUUCUUAUUGUGACUGAUAUCCUUUGGGCUGAAGCUUACACCCAUUUCCUCCACUUCAGACAUUAGUGACAAAGAAUCAGAAAUGAUCCUUGGCCUCAAAAGGACCUCCUAUGUGACGGCUUCAGCCUUCCCCUUUUAAAGAAGGAAAAAAACUGAGAACCAAGUAGAACGUGGGACCUGCCUAUGGUUGAGAACCAGUGCCAAAACCCACUUCCCUCUCUCAGACCACAGUGCACUUUCUGUUGCCCUAUUCCUUCACACAGGUCUUUUACUUACUGAUACGAGGCCUGUUAGAUGCAUUCCCCUUCCAUAACGUCUGAAGUAUAAACUACCUUAUUUUUGUAGAAGGCCCAGGAAGGCAAAUUAUUAGUGUUUCAGGGCCAGGAUAAAACCCUGAACAGCUCCUCAUUUUGUGCCGAGGACAGAACCUCCACUCUCCGCUCUCUGGUUCCAGGCUCCAUGCUGGGGCUUCCUUUUAAAAUCAAGCCGCCCCCCCCCCCCCAAAGACUAGGAACCAAGAGGGAUUUUUUUUAAUGUAUAUACUUAUUCAAAACUGAAGCCAUGGAGAAGCUCGGGUUCUUUGCUCAGCAUCUGCUUGUGUUGAGCAAGUGAAAAUCCCUGGGGAGCAGUGGGUGCUUCCCACACCAAAUGAUUUCUGUACAAGGUCCAGCAUUCCUCCGUCUGAUAUGGGGGUCACACCACACACCAAGAAGGAUGUGACUAAGAAAAAUGUGACUUCAGAGACGCUGCAAGUCCAGACAACUUCUGAUAAACAUUUAAACAGAAGUAAAGAAUGUUUUCCUUUCUGAGGGGGGAAGCUAUGUGGUCUAGGGUGUGAGUGGGAGGAGAUGGAGGAUAAUAAAUCCAAACAUCAGCUUCCUCCUUUCAUAAUUCUUAAGUAUGUCAGCAACAGCCAUUUUUAAUUCCCUGACAGGCUCUCAUACUUGUACCACUCCGCUGGGUGCGAGCCACAGAAAGAGGGAUAGGAUCUGUGAAGAACGGGAAAUUCCAAAGUAAUUACCAAGCAUGUUUAAAAUGAAGCUGGAUGCUGGGGCCAGUCUCUUGGUUCCCACACCGAGGCCGGGAAAGCUCCCGAAGGUGUCCACUCAGGCCCACUUGAGGCACCUACGUUGGGAUUCUCGCUUCCUGUGCUGACAAAGGGGGGAAGCUCUGGAGGGGAAAUGGGUGUUGACUUCCAGGGGAGGAAAGGUGAGGGGGAGCGGAUGGCACCUCUCAGCAUUCUCAUCCUACCCAAGGAAUUCCGAGAGCACUGGGCCAGGAUGGGGAGGAGGGAGAGCCAAGAGCAGAGAGCCAACAUGGAUGCCCCUUGGCAAGGGAAAGGAAAGCAGCAUGGUUUCUGAGACACGAAGCGCUUUCAUUGGUAGUAUUGAUCCAAUUAAUGUCUUUGCCUACUUUCUUUCCCAUGGGUCCUUUGGUUUGUCUCCUCAUGUUUCCUGGAAGGGUGUGUGUGGUGGGGAAUGGGGGGAUGGGUGAGGAUGGGUAAGACCGACUGGCAUUCUCUUUAAGCAAUUCUAAUAAAAAUUAAAAAAUAUAAAUGUCUUGGAAGGAAAGACAUUGAUGUUAACUUUAAUAAAACCCUUCAUGUAUCCAAAAAUCAAGAUUGUUUUGCCUGUCUGUUAUGUCAGCCAUUAUCCCUGUGGCCAGGAGCGCUCAAGACAGAAUGCAUUUCUGCCACUUCUUCCCCUUUGAAUUUUAAGCAGGCAAAGAGAUGAUCACCUUGUGAAAUCAUAAGUAUUCCCAUACUCGGCUUUAGAGAUUUUUCACUUUUCUGAGAGAGCAUAUUUUAUUUUUAAAAGCUAGUGUUCAAAAACACGUUCACUUGUUUGUUGGUUUGUUUGUCCAUGUAGUCAUUCAUUCAUUCAUUCAUGGGGAUGGAAAGAGUCCUAUCAAUGGGCCAUGACUUAGAAAAAUGGGAGUCAUAGUCAGGAUGAAAGCUCUGGCGUUUAACCUACCAUAGAAUCUUGGCCCGCCUACUGAUAAGCUCUGGGAAUCUAUGCAAGUUCAUAAACCUUUCAGAACCUCUGAUUUCUCAUCUGUUAAAUGGGGUUAAUAUGAGCAUAACCACCUCAUUGGAUUCUUGUGAGAAUUAUCUGAAGUAACAUUAGAAAUAGCCUGUACUGUGCUGGGCAUAUAAUAAGCUCAAGAAUGGUAGGAGCAGCGGUAGUAUUAGUGGUGAUGGUAAAGGUAGUAGUAAUUUUUAUGAUUAAUAGUUAUUAGUAAUGAGACGAAUAUCGUAAGAGUAAUGGCGUGAAGCACUAUGAAAUAUCAGUGGGGGAGGGAAUGUAUCAGUGGGGCAGAGAUUGCAGGACAGGAGGUAAUUUGACUUGCUAGCUUUCUUUCAUUUGAGCUCUAUUCUUCUCAAUCACAUCUUAGUGGAGAAGUCGGGGCCUCCCUUUCCCUUUGCACUACAUUUUCUAUUCCAUUCCUGAGGACUGCAGCUUUGGUAGCACAUUCAACUGAAGGCUCCAUCCCAGCGUCUGCAUUGACCUUGGAGUGCCAGAGUUAUUAUUCUGUCAAUUAUUUGACUUUUUAAAGUGUGCUCACCCUGGAGAACCUCUGCAGAGGAGGACUGUGUUAAUGUGUAACACAGAGAUAAGCAAGGCACUGCUCUUUUCCUUUUUUCAUAGUCAUUCAGGCGGAAAACUGAAAUGGUUUUUAUUUGCAUCUCAUCGAGCAGUGUUGGAGGGUGGGGAAGAAGAGGCUUUUACUAAUGAAGUACAGUGGGAUGCGAAUUUUGGCAACACAAGACGCCGUGAAUCACCUGCAACUUGUUUUUGUUUUAAAAAUAAAAGUAAAUUGCAAGGCAGUGUCGUACCUUGCUUGAAGAAGUGAUGGUAUUCAGCAAGGAGACAGUGAAGAGGAAUACACUGAGCUGGUGGAACCAAGUAGCUCUGUGCUUCUCUUGUAGACGGAAUGAACGAUGGCCACUUGCAGGGGUGGCAAGGUCAUUUUUCUCACCUUCUAUAGAAGGCAUUGAUCACGGGGGCCGGAGAACAAUGUUCGGGACAAGGAGAAAUGAGCAGCUGUUGCAGGAGGCAGUGAGUGGAGACAGGAGGACGGAGGCCCCUGUGUGCGGGAGCCAGCUCUGCCCAGCCCGCAGGCUGGCGGGGAGGUGGUGAAGCUGGUUGCCUAGAGCCCUACAGCUCUGCUGGUAACUUUCCAUUGUUAGAGAAAUCUCCUGGUCAUCAUACAAGUGCAUUUCUGAAAUGCCUGACAGCUCAGGGCUCCGUAAGCUCUGGAUUAGCCAGCCCUCCACACAGCCAGUCUGUAUCAUAAGCAAAGGUCAGAGGAAUGUGGUAGAGCCUU